rnacentral:tRNA from 1 species
GCAGAUGUAGCUCAGUUGGUUAGAGCGCGACUCUGAUACAGUCGAGGUCGAAGUUUCAAUUACUUCCAUCUGCAC